GGGGGAUAAAUUAAUAAAGUAUAAAUAAUAAAAAAAUUUUUAAUAUUAAAUAAUUUUAAUGGGGGUUAAAGUAUAUUUAAUAGAAAAAAUAAAAAAAUUUAUAGAAAAUUAGUAUUGUAAAAGAAAUUUGAAAUAUGUUGAAAAUAAAUUUAUAUGAAAGUAAAUUUAAUUUAUUGUAUCUUGUGUAUCAGAGUUUAUUAAUAAUUAUUUUUAUAUAAAAAUUUUCUCGAAUUUAAAAGAGAUAAUUAAUUAUUAAAGUUAAUGUUAUAUAAUUAUUUUAAAUAAUUAAUUUGAAAUGAAAUGUUAAUCGUUUUUGAAUAUAUCUAGUUUUUUUAGAAAAAAAUUUAAUUUUAAAUUUUAAAAAAAUAUAAUUUUAAUUAAUUAAAAUUAUAUUUUUAAAAUUAAAUAUUUUAAGGGAUAAGCUUUAAAAUAAAUUUUUAUAAUGAAUUUUAAUAGUAAUAAUUGAAAUUUUUAAAAUUUAUAUUGUUUAAAAAUUAUAAUUUUUUAUAAAUAAUUUCAAUUUAUUUAAAAUUUAAAAUUUAUUUAAUUUUUUAUUAAAAAAUAUUUUUUAAUAAUUUAAAUUUAGAUAUAAUGAUAAAAUUAGUAUAUAAUUUUAAAUAAAAAUAAUUUAUUGUUUAAUAAUUUAAAAAAAGGAAUUCGGCAAAAAUUUAUAUUCACUUGUUUAUCAAAAACAUGUCUUUUUGGUUAAUAAUUUAAAGUCUAAUCUGCCCACUGAUAAUAUAUUAAAGGGCUGCAGUAUUUUGACUGUACAAAGGUAGCAUAAUCAAUAGUCUCUUAAUUGGUGACUUGUAUGAAGGAUUUAAUGAGAUAUAUACUGUCUCUUUUUAAUUUAUAAAAUUUAAUUUUUUAGUUAAAAAGCUAAAAUAAAUUUAAAAGACGAGAAGACCCUAUAGAGUUUAAUAUUUAAUUAAAUUGGAAUUAUUUAUAAAAUUUAAAGUUUUAAUUUAUAAUAAAUAUUUUGUUGGGGUGAUAAAAAAAUUAAAAGAACUUUUUUUAUAGAUUUACAUUGAUAAGUGAAUAAAUGAUCCGUAAUUUACGAUUAAAAGAAAAAAUUACCUUAGGGAUAACAGCGUAAUUUUUUUUUUUAGUUCAAAUAAGAAAAAAAGUUUGCGACCUCGAUGUUGGAUUAAGAUAAAAUUUAAAUGCAAAAGUUUAAAAUUUUUGAUCUGUUCGAUCAUUAAAAUCUUACAUGAUCUGAGUUCAAACCGGUGUAAGCCAGGUUGGUUUCUAUCUUUAAAUUAAUAAAAUAUUUUAGUACGAAAGGAUUAAAUAUUUAAAAUAAUUUUAUAUAAAAAGAAUUUUAAUAAUAGUUUAAUAUAUUUAAAUAUUA
rnacentral:rRNA from 1 species